GAACGCACGCAAGGUGAGUGGCGCACGGGUGAGUACGCGUGGGACCUGCCCUGGAGUGGGGGAUAACCCGGCGAAAGCCGGGCUAAUACCGCAUACGUCCUGAGGGAGAAAGAUUUAUCGCUCUAGGAGGGGCCCGCGUCGGAUUAGCUAGUUGGUGAGGUAACGGCUCACCAAGGCGACGAUCCGUAGCUGGUCUGAGAGGAUGAUCAGCCACACUGGGACUGAGACACGGCCCAGACUCCUACGGGAGGCAGCAGUGGGGAAUAUUGGACAAUGGGGGAAACCCUGAUCCAGCAAUGCCGCGUGAGUGAUGAAGGCCUUAGGGUUGUAAAGCUCUUUCGGCGGGGACGAUGAUGACGGUACCCGCAGAAGAAGCCCCGGCUAACUUCGUGCCAGCAGCCGCGGUAAU
rnacentral:rRNA from 1 species